rnacentral:rRNA from 1 species
UACAGAGGGGGCAAGCGUUGUCCGGAUUCAUUGGGCGUAAAGAGCGUGUAGGCGGCCAGGUAGGUCGGUUGUGAAAACUGGAGGCUCAACCUUCAGAGGUCGACCGAAACCAUCUGGCUAGAGCAUUGGAGAGGGUAGCAGAAUUCAUGGUGUAGCAGUGAAAUGCGUAGAUAUCAUGAGGAAUACCAGAGGCGAAGGCGGCUACCUGGACAAUUGCUGACGCUCAGGCACGAAAGCGUGGGGAGCAAAAGGG